rnacentral:rRNA from 1 species
AUGUACAUUCCUACAAUGUUAAUGCAACGUACCCCAUCAUAACUUUGCAGUUAAGCAUGCUUGGUAUAUAGUAGUACUAGGAUGGGUGACCUCCCGAGAAGUCCUUGUGUUUUACAUG